CUUUCUCCGCCGGCGACCGGCGCACGGGUGAGUAACACGUAUGCAACCUGCCCCUGUCAGGGGGACAACCCGCCGAAAGGCGGGCUAAACCCGCGUACAUGCCACCGGGGCAUCCCGGAGGCAGGAAAGGCUUCGGCCGGACAGGGAUGGGCAUGCGGCGCAUUAGGCAGUAGGCGGGGUAACGGCCCACCUAACCGACGAUGCGUAGGGGUUCUGAGAGGAAGGUCCCCCCACACUGGUACUGAGACACGGACCAGACUCCUACGGGAGGCAGCAG
rnacentral:rRNA from 1 species